GCAACUUUGGGGCCGUUCCUUGUCUAUGUUCCUUGGAACAGGACGUCAUAGAGGGUGAGAAUCCCGUGUGGCGAGGAGUGCGGUUCUUUGUAAAGUGCCUUCGAAGAGUCGAGUUGUUUGGGAAUGCAGCUCUAAGUGGGUGGUAAAUUCCAUCUAAAGCUAAAUAUUGGCGAGAGACCGAUAGCGAACAAGUACAGUGAUGGAAAGAUGAAAAGAACUUUGAAAAGAGAGUGAAAAAGUACGUGAAAUUGUUGAAAGGGAAGGGCAUUUGAUCAGACAUGGUGUUUUGUGCCCUCUGCUCCUUGUGGGUAGGGGAAUCUCGCAUUU
rnacentral:rRNA from 1 species